GACGAACGCUGGCGGCGUGCCUAACACAUGCAAGUCGAGCGAGAAUCUUUCAUUUGAUUCCUUCGGGAUGAAGAUGGAAGAGGAAAGCGGCGGACGGGUGAGUAACGCGUGAGUAACCUGCCCUUUGGAGGGGGACAACAUUCCGAAAGGAAUGCUAAUACCGCAUAACAUAUAUUUAAGGCAUCUUAGAUAUAUCAAAGAUCUAUCACCAAAGGAUGGACUCGCGUCUGAUUAGCUAGUUGGUGGGGUAAAGGCCUACCAAGGCGACGAUCAGUAGCCGAACUGAGAGGUUGAUCGGCCACAUUGGGACUGAGACACGGCCCAGACUCCUACGGGAGGCAGCAGUGGGGGAUAUUGCGCAAUGGGGGCAACCCUGACGCAGCAACGCCGCGUGAAGGAAGAAGGUUUUCGGAUCGUAAACUUCUUUAAGUGGGGAAGAUAGUGACGGUACCCACAGAAUAAGCCACGGCUAACUACGUGCCAGCCGCCGCGGUAAGAC
rnacentral:rRNA from 1 species